GACGAACGCUGGCGGCGUGCUUAACACAUGCAAGUCGAACGGAAAGGCCCUGCUUUUGUGGGGUGCUCGAGUGGCGAACGGGUGAGUAACACGUGAGUAACCUGCCCUUGACUUUGGGAUAACUUCAGGAAACUGGGGCUAAUACCGGAUAGGAGCUCCUGCUGCAUGGUGGGGGUUGGAAAGUUUCGGCGGUUGGGGAUGGACUCGCGGCUUAUCAGCUUGUUGGUGGGGUAGUGGCUUACCAAGGCUUUGACGGGUAGCCGGCCUGAGAGGGUGACCGGCCACAUUGGGACUGAGAGACGGACCAGACUCCUACGGGAGGCAGAAGUGGGGAAUAUGGCACAAUGGGCGGAAGCCUGAUGCAGCAACGCCGCGUGCGGGAUGACGGCCUUCGGGUUGUAAACCGCUUUCGCCUGUGACGAAGCGUGAGUGACGGUAAUGGGUAAAGAAGCACCGGCUAACUACGUG
rnacentral:rRNA from 1 species